AUGAAACGGGAGAACAAAGAAAACAAUAGUGAGACCGCGAGACUGAGACAUUAGGCACUGAGCAAGUGAGCGACUGUGCAAGGGAAGAAGAAAGGGGCAACGAGGGUAAUCUUCACGUAGCAAAAUGACGUCGUUCCUAUUUCGAGGAACACCAUUGUUUAAGUUAAGAAAAAAAAUUAUAAAUUUAAAAUGACAUCAUUUUGAAAAUGUAUUUUUAUGAAAAAGUCAAAGUUAAAGUUCGGAGUUGGGCUCGAACUCGGACUCCAUUUUUAGAGUCUUUCUAAUUCCGACUCUGAAUUUUGAUUAUUCUGACAAAAUUCCAUUGAAGCCGGGAUUGGAAUGAAGUUCGGUCGGAGUCAAAAUUUUUAAAAAUUUGCACAGCCCUAAUUUGAGGAUGAGAAUCAUGGGUUGCGUUGGGCUCCAAAUUCCUAAAAGCAACGUAUGGACGGAAAAAGAAUAACUUAUCCAUCAAGUCAUAUACCAGAGAAAAACAGAGAAAGAAAAGAGAGAGAUGAGAAGAGAAGGAAGAGAAUGAUGAAGGCUGCUUCAGCUUUAUGAUGAAUUUUUGUUUUCUUUUUUUUUUUUUGGUUUUUGUCCUUUUUAUUUUUUUAUUCCACAUAAACUCUUCCGAUUUCCUCCGCUUGCGCAUGCCAUUUGUACUGCUCCCAAAACGUAACCUAAUUGGAGCACCAAGUUUGUGCGGUGCAGGAAGACGAGGAACGAACGGUGGUGAAUUCCUUGUCCGAUUUCAUCUUUGACUAGGGCUGCCUCUCUCUCAGUUUCCGAUUCUUGACGGUGAAAUCUCAUAAUCUCUAAGUCAUAGCUGAAGUGGACGAACCGGAAACCAGUAUGGAACCUUCGAUCCAGGUGGUGGGUCAAGGAAGGGGUGGAGGGUUUGGAAGAAAA